rnacentral:rRNA from 1 species
GUAGGGAAUAUUGGUCAAUGGAGGCAACUCUGAACCAGCCAUGCCGCGUGCAGGAAGACUGCCCUAUGGGUUGUAAACUGCUUUUGUACGGGAAGAAAUGUUACUACGUGUAGUAAUUUGACGGUACCGUAAGAAUAAGGAUCGGCUAACUUCGUGCCAGCAGCCGCGGUAAUACGAAGGAUCCAAGCGUUGUCCGGAUUUACUGGGUUUAAAGGGAGCGUAGGCGGUCCUAUAAGUCAGUGGUGAAAGCCUUCAGCUUAACUGAAGAAUUGCCAUUGAAACUGUAGGACUCGAGUAUGGUUGAGGUCACUGGAAUAUAACAUGUAGCGGUGAAAUGCUUAGAUAUGUUAUAGAACACCAAUUGCGAAGGCAGGUGACUAAGCCAUAACUGACGCUGAGGCUCGAAAGCGUGGGGAGCAAUCAGGAUUAGAUACCCGUGUAGUCC